CGGGCUUGGAGGAGGAGGAAAAGUGGAAGAGGAGAAAAGGAAAGAGGGGGGAAGGGCUUAGAGGAGAAGGAAGAUGAGGAGAAGAAGGGGAUAAGGAGGAUGGCGAAGGAGGGAGGAGAGACGUCGGCAUCGGAGAUGGAGAAGGGGAUCCAUCAGCGAAAAAGAAGGAAGAAGAUGGGUAUAAUGGUAGUUUGAUCAUUUUAUAAAAUAAUGAUAUUGUUGUUGCAAAUUUUUGGCUUUGAUCGGAGUGCCUGGAGUCGAAUGAAAAGCACUGGCACGAUGAGACCUACAAAAUAAGUUAUGAUCGGAGUUGACUUCGGUGGAGACUCUCUGACUGUCAAGUCAGAAAAUUAGAACAGAUGAAUGCUAGAGAGUUUUAGAGCGCGAGUGUGCAUAUCUGGAGGGUCUCUUUUUUAUCUUUAUUUAUAGAAAGGUGAGAGCCAUAAGGAGAAAAGUAGUGGGAGGCCAUUAUGGC
rnacentral:lncRNA from 1 species